CGAUCACCUGGGAACCUUGUCACUAUGCAGGUCCUAAUCAGUAGGAGAGGGUAGGGCCAACACUGUUGCUAACAGGUCCCUAGUGUCCACAGCUGCUGGUCUGUGAACCUCACUUUGAAGAACAAGAUCCUGGAAUACACACACCAGUGGAUGCGGGCUAACGACUGACCACAGAGGAUUCUCUAGUCCUCUGGCACAUCUUCAAAUAAUGACACACGUCUAUGGAAGAAGUCCUCCAAAG
rnacentral:lncRNA from 1 species